GGUGGCUUAGUGUUAGAGUGCUUGCCUUGCAUGCAUGAGGCCCUGGGUUCAAUUUUCAGCACCA
rnacentral:tRNA from 1 species